UCCCUGGUGGCUCAGUCAGUAAAGCAUCUGCCUGCAAUGCAGGAGACCCAGGUUCAGUCCCUGGGUUGGAAA
rfam:Ovis aries breed Texel chromosome 16, whole genome shotgun sequence.